rnacentral:rRNA from 1 species
GACGAACGCUGGCGGCGUGCUUAACACAUGCAAGUCGAACGGAAAGGCCUGCUUUCCCUUGUGGAUUGCGGGUACUCGAGUGGCGAACGGGUGAGUAACACGUGAGUGAUCUGCCCCCAACUUGGGUAUAAGCCUGGGAAACUGGGCCUAAUUCCCGAUAGGACUGCAGGGUGGUGCCUGUGGUGGAAAACGAUGUUCUAGUGGUUGGGGAUGAGCUCGCGGCCUAUAAGCUUGUGGGUAGGGUAAUGGCCUACCAAGGCGGCGACGGGUAGCCGGCCAGAGAGGGAUGACGGACGAACUGGAACAGAGACACGACCCAGACGACUACGGGAGGCAGCAAUUGGGAAUAGUGCAGAAUGGGCGGGAGCCUGAUGCGGCGACGCAGCGUGGAGGAUGACGGCAUUCGGGUUGUAACCUCCUUUGGACCACGAAGAGGCCACCUGGUUGGAAGGGUCAUGACGGUAGUGGUAGAGGAAGCACCGGCUAACUACGUG